rnacentral:rRNA from 1 species
GACGAACGCUGGCGGCAGGCCUAACACAUGCAAGUCGAGCGGACCUUUCGGGGUCAGCGGCGGACGGGUGAGUAACGCGUGGGAAUAUGCCCUUCUCUACGGAAUAGUCCUGGGAAACUGGGGGUAAUACCGUAUACGCCCUUUGGGGGAAAGAUUUAUCGGGGAAGGAUUAGCCCGCGUUGGAUUAGGUAGUUGGUGGGGUAAUGGCCUACCAAGCCGACGAUCCAUAGCUGGUUUGAGAGGAUGAUCAGCCACACUGGGACUGAGACACGGCCCAGACUCCUACGGGAGGCAGCAGUGGGGAAUCUGAGACAAUGGGGGCAACCCUGAUCUAGCCAUGCCGCGUGAGUGAUGAAGGCCUUAGGGUUGUAAAGCUCUUUCAGCUGGGAAGAUAAUGACGGUACCAGCAGAAGAAGCCCCGGCUAACUCCGU